rnacentral:rRNA from 1 species
GACGAACGCUGGCGGCGUGCCUAAUACAUGCAAGUCGAACGCUGAAGGAGGAGCUUGCUUCUCUGGAUGAGUUGCGAACGGGUGAGUAACGCGUAGGUAACCUGCCUGGUAGCGGGGGAUAACUAUUGGAAACGAUAGCUAAUACCGCAUAAUAGUAGAUGUCGCAUGACAUUUGCUUAAAAGGUGCAAUUGCAUCACUACCAGAUGGACCUGCGUUGUAUUAGCUAGUUGGUGAGGUAACGGCUCACCAAGGCAACGAUACAUAGCCGACCUGAGAGGGUGAUCGGCCACACUGGGACUGAGACACGGCCCAGACUCCUACGGGAGGCAGCAGUAGGGAAUCUUCGGCAAUGGACGGAAGUCUGACCGAGCAACGCCGCGUGAGUGAAGAAGGUUUUCGGAUCGUAAAGCUCUGUUGUAAGAGAAGAACGAGUGUGAGAGUGGAAAGUUCACACUGUGACGGUAGCUUACCAGAAAGGGACGGCUAACUACGUG